rnacentral:lncRNA from 1 species
UUUUGUGAAGUUUUUGGAACCCUUGGUAAAAUUAAAAUUUGUAAAGAAAUUUUAUAUACUAGCCUUCUAAGAAGCUUUCUUUUCUUUGACUAUUGACCUUUGUUUAGUACGUGUUAAAGACCAUAGACAGCAGUUGAUGAAGACUACUUUCCUUCUUAUGUUUCUCAAUUCAUAACUAGACUACAAAGGACGUUCAGUUUCCUGGUUUAAGUUUGAAUAAUCCAAGCAAGAUUCUCUUGUUGGAUAUUUCGUAAUAUUGUUGUUGAAGAUUUCACCUAGCUAGCUAGAUGUCUGAAAACUACGACAAUUGGGAAAAACUUGUGAAUGUUGCGCUUCGGAGAGAACAAUUCCGACAACUUGCUUUAGCUCAUUCCAGGGAAUCAAGUUCCAGUACAUUAAAUGAGGAUAUUAUGGAUUGGGAGAGAUAUUACUGCCGAGUGCCGUCUGGUUAUGGUAGAAUUUUCUCCGAAUCUGUAAAGCUUCUUCCUGAUGCAAACAAGAAAGAUAUUAUCAACAUUGUAAGCUUCUUUACUCUGAAUCAAUCAGCGAAGCGCAGUGGAAAUUACUUACAGUCUUGAAUUUUAUUUUUGCAUAAACUAGCUACAAAAUCAUGAAACCUUAAAAAAUUAUUUUUCAUAUUCCUUCUUUCAAAUUUCGCACUAUAAUUUUCUGAAAUGAUUUCAUCAUAGAUGGAUCAGUUUUUUGAUCUGUCAACAGAUUUUUUGAAUAGAUUUAUUCAAUGUAUUUUAAAUUAUUAUCAUUGCUGUAUCAAGCCGAGUGAUUAAAUUUUAUUUUUUUUGUUUCACAAGCUGAAUUUACUUUAUAAUCUUUUUUUAUGCAAAAAACUGAUUUUAGCUAUGUAGCAGACUAUAUAUAUGCUUAUGUUUGGAUAAUUAGCACAAAACGUUCAUAUCUUUCAAUGUUAUUGUGCAAAACGUCCAUACAUUUUAUUUUUUGACACUUUUACCUUACUUUCACCUUUUAUUAUUGAAAUCAUCAUUUUCAUCAAAUUUCUCGUUUAAAAUGACAAAUGUACUCCCUAUUUAAAUAAAAUAAUAAAAAAUAAAAGAAAAGUUAAAGAAUAAAUUGCAAUCACACUCCCAAACUUUUUAAAAAAGUGCAAAUGAGUCCAAAUAAAUUACUAAAAGAGUAAUUAGCAUAAAACGUCCAUACCUUUUAUUAUUAUUGUGCAAAACAUCCCUAACUUUAAUUUCUUGACAUCUUCACCCUUAUUUUAUAUUUCAUUGAGAAAAUCAUUAUUUUCAUCAUUUUUCUUAAUUAAAUGCUAUAAAAUAACAAAUAUACACUUCUCUUUAACUAAAUAAAAAAAAAAUAAAGAACAAGUUGCAACUAUAUUUCCAAAAUUUAAAAAAAUAAUUAAAAAAGAAAUUAUAGUUGCAAUUUGUUCUUCAUUUUUGUUUAUUUAAAGAAGAGUGUAUAUUUGUCAUUUUACAGUUUUUAAUUGAGAAAAUGGAUGAACAUAACGAUUUUUGCAAUAAAAUAUAAAAAUAAGGGUGAAAAUUUCAAAAAAUGAAAGGAGGAACGAUUUGCACAAUAAUAAUGAAAGGUAUGGACAAUUUUGCUAAUUACUCUUUUAAUAAUUUAUUUGGACUCAUUUGCAUUUUUAAAAAAGUUUGGGAGCAUGAUUUCAAUUUAUUCUUUACCUUUUCUUUUCUUUUUUAUUGUUUUAUUUAAAUAUGGGAUACAUUUGUCAUUUUACACGAGAAUUUUGAUGAAAAUGAUAAUUUCCACAAUAAAAGAUGGAGGUAUGGAUAAAAGUGUCCAAAAAAUGAAAGUUAGGGACGUUUUACACAGUAACAUUGAAAUGUAAAGACUUUCUACUAAUUACCCUUUAUGUUUUAUAAAUAGAUUUAAUAAUCUGUUUUCAGCAACAAAAACUAAAAUACAUCAUAUAACCCGUACUAAUAGGUGGCUUGCCGAAUCUCGCCAGCUAGCUCUUUCGGGCUUGAGAUUGGCUCGCGUGAACAAAUUCAAUAUAGGCUUGGGCUCGAGCUCGGUUCAAUUCGAGCCCAAGACACUCAUGUACCCAAGUUUAUUGAGCUGCCUGGGUCGAUUGCCAUCACUAGGUCCAAAGUUCAAUUCAUUCAAUCUCAUGCUUCCAGUAUUGCUAAUAUAAGGACUUAUUUGCAGCUUCUGAAUUUGUGGAAGCCAUAGCCAUAAUGAUUGUUCCCUAUCAAGCCCAUCACAUGUACAAGGGGCUUGCUGAUCUCAUUCCAGAUAUCGAUGCUUUAUACUCCAAGGAAGCCUAGUAUCGAGUUAGAACAUAAUCCCAAACUUUGUAUUGUUGUCGGAUUUUACCCGCACUCAUGCCUCCUGUUUGAAUAGAGAUGAAUGUAUACUCAUUUUCUUGCAUCUUUGACAUUUUCCCACUACUUUGCCUUUAUCUUCGACCUUGCCCCUUUGUAGAUUUUGUUUGUGUUCAUCAUAUUUAUUGAAAGUAGAGGAAAAGAUUGUGAAUUUGCGAGAUGAUCUAUGUAUGAUUUUCACUUUCAGAUUGCAGAAGAUUUGUUGGUACUCCUUUUGUGUAUAACGUGCUUUUUUAUAAUUCAACAGAUUUG